AAACAGCUGGGGUGGGAACCAGGGCCAGGCUGUAACCCAUUCAGCCAACCAGUCAGCUACCCGCUGCCUUGGUGUAGGCCCUUCCAAAACAGUGCCUCCAGCUGGGAACCAUACCCAGGGACCUGUGGGGGACAUCGCACACCCACGCUGUAACAGUAAGGUUGGAUGUGACAGUUCUGCUGAGAGCUGAAGAGCGUGGGACUCAGUCAGCACUGGGCAGCCAUCAUCCUGCUGCCUGGCACCAACCAGGAUCUCCUGAAGUCUGGUUUCUUUGUCAUUUAAACUGGUCUAAAGCGUUUCUCGAUUCAGUCACUCUCUUUCUGUGGAAAUUUCUCACUGCUUUUACUCAUGGGGACCUGUCAAGGAAAAGUCAUAAACCUGAUGCAGUUGGAUCCAUGCACCUGGGUACACAUUCAGCCCAUGCAGGAUCAGUGUGUUUCUUUUGGAAUAACGGCACUUUGGGGGCCAGGGGUACUAACAUCUAAAUUUAAAAGAUUAUAUGUGUAAUUUAUUCCACCAAGUCCCAGAGGGGCAGACGAUGUAGCUGCUUCCCAGAAUGAUGAAGUAAAUGUGCUAAGAGAUGGAGAUGAUGGAGUGAGAGAAAAUCCUGAGAGUUUCAUUUCUUGGCAGUGGCCCUUUCUAGGACCCAGCUGCCUUCCUGCCUUGGUUUCUAUUAUUUACAAGGUUCAUGUGGGGGUGAACUUCACCGUAUGUGUGGAGGUCAAUGUGCUGGAAUUUGAACUCAGUUCCUCGUGCUGGAGCAGCAAGCUCUUUGCCCACUAAGUCACCUCCCCAGCCCCAUUUGUAAGUUUUGUUAAUCCCUGGAGUCCUGAAACCAGUCUCCCAUUGGAAACUAAGGGACUGUUGUACCUCUACUACAGCCUUUAAUUCUUUACAGCAAUUGGUGCUAAAGACACUUUAAAGUGUAAGCUUUGUUUAAAAAAUGAAUUGAUGCUAAUUAAGAGUGAAGAAUAAAAAAGUGAUUGGGUAAAACAGUUGAAAGCAGAACAUAAUUGGGUACACAUUGUUUAUUCCUGGUUCCUUUACUUCAUUAAAUUGAGAGAAGAAAGAAAAUGUUAA